CAUUCCGUUGUAAAAGUCAAUCCCAAAUCCAUAUAGAAAUCAUUUUGAAUUGCAGCCUCGUUUGCUUUACUACGUGAAUGUAACACACCAUCACCUGGUAAGAUCGGACACUACAAGCUGGAUUGGCACCAGUUUAUCCUGAGACAGGGGCUUCUGGGGUGGAUGGCAGCUGACGACACAGAGGAGUUUGAGACGAGGACAGGCGCAGAUGGAAAACGAGACUUGCAGCCUCUCUCCAGAAUCUCAGUAACAAGGCUGUGUGGGUCAUCCUGAUGACCUGAGGAGGGCACUUUGCUGGCGCAGUUUUCCAAGGGAGGGAAGUUCUGCAGCACAAGACUUUCUGGUACAUCGUGCAAGCGAAGCGUGACAGCACAGGGGCUCCUGGAUGGGCAGAACCGCAGCCACGUGCCCAAUUCCACCACCGCUGCCCUGCGCAGG